UAAAGUGCUUACAGUGCAGGUAGUGAUGAUAAUCUGGCCUACUGCAGUGUGAGCACUUCUUUC
rnacentral:pre_miRNA from 2 species